GAACGGCCAGAAAGAGUCCGACGACUGUAGUCUGCAGUGGGUCAGUUGCAGCAGGCUACCUGUGCACAAUUCUGCCGUUUGCAAGACUGUUGGAAAUCCUAUAAACUGACUACGCCACGGAUGAAACUCGAAAUGCUUUUUCAGGCAUGGAUCCUACAACAGUUGCAGUAUUGAAAGCUGCUAAUAUUAGCACAGAAUUGCUUCCCAGUCUGUCUAAGGUGGACUUGCGUGACCUCUUUCCGGGGCCUGAGCACUUUUUCCGAAGGAAAGCCAUUUGGAGGACCACUCAUGGUGAAAAUGAGGUGAUAUCCGAUUUUAACGUUGUGUGGACAUUAAACUAUGCUGUGAUUUACAAUUUCAGUGAAACUGUCAUGCUCUGUGUCUUUUGUUCCCUGUUCGUUUUUCUGUUUUAUUUUGUAGUGUCUAUUCUUCCUAACUUUCUCUAGUCUUCCUAUUUGUUCUUUGCUACCUGUUUGGUUGUCACUGCAUUUUGGCCCAAUCCUGCAAAACCUGACGGAAACAUUUCCUUUUUGGUGUUGUUGCUUGUAGUGCACUACUUACAAUUAAUGUGAGAUCAAUUUUUGUGUUUUUCAGUGUGAAGAACUGGAGCAGCCUCACCCAGGCACCUCCUCUGGAACUUAUGAUGGUGCAUCAAUUCCACCUACCCCAAACGCUUUGUCCACUCCUUCUUCCUUCCCUGCACCUGUCCCCUCUUCAAAGCCAGGAGACAGUGCCAGCAGAACUGUACAGCUUCAAAGUCCACAAUAUGUUGUAUACACAGACACAGAGCUGGAGCUGUCAAGAACCACCUUUUUUGAAAAACAGCGUGCUGGACAAGAAGAAGACUUCACACUCUCCAAAGAGCUUCGCUGUCGCAUAAUAAGGAACACAGUAACAAGCAUGAUCGCCAUAAAGAGAGCUGCAGGGGAUGACUUCCGAUAUCCAAGUAGCCGUGAGCUAACUGCGAUGGCUCAGCGUCUGAUUGUAUACUACCCAAUGCUGCGGGACAGGUCUGCAGCCAGUGGAGCUGAGUGGGAAUCUGUGAAGAAGCAGCUUUUGAGAAGGGUCCAAAAUGUGACAACCCCCAAAAAGAAGCAGGGAGCAACUCCUUCAAGAAAGAGGCGACUGGCCAUCAGCUUUGAGAGCAGCAGCCAUGGGUCACCCACUGAUGACAGCGGGUCCAAUGCUUCAACUUUGAGCUUGGAAACAUCACCGCAGUCUGGAGGCACUUCCCCGGAGGCUGAACAGGUGGAUGGGCCUGAAACUACUGACAGCCCACAGAACCAGGCCAGACACUACAAAGUUCUGCAGAAGCUAUACAAAUCCAAGCCCAGGCCCAACAAGAAGGAUGUUGCCCAGCUGUUGGACCUGGAAUACCAAGCAAGACGGGCUUACAUCGACUCUGAUGUUCUGAAGGAGCACGACAGACCUACCAAGAUUCUUCAAGCAUAUCCCUGCUUCAGAGAAGUGGAUCAUAUAAUGGAUGAACUGCAGCGGAUCCUCAAUCAAGGAAACCCCCACUUCAUACCUGAACUGAAGAACCGCUGGAAGACCUUUUGUGAGAAGAUCCAGUUUUAUGGCGUUUUCAAAAAAGUCAUGAGACCUCCACUGGCUGAUAAAGUAAAGCGAGGGGUUGCGAUGAUGAAAGCUUUGCCAGACGUCUUCCCAUCACCCAUUGCUCCACCCAAGAAGUUGGGGCAUGCAAGUGAGGCCAUUCUUCACAUCUUGAGUCUGUGGAAGACCCCAACGCUUUCCUGAACGCAAGACCGCUCUCCAGCCCUGUAGUGAUCGUCUGUGAGAGCAACUGCAUUCUGGCCAUCGGAACCAUGCCUGUGCUGAUCUUCCCAAAGGAGGACAUCUCAGUGUGAUGUACAUCAUGGCAUGCUGCUACACCUUUCACCUCACAUACCCCAAGUGCAUAACCACACUCCUCUCUGUGCUGCAGACAGAGGUCCUCAUGGAUGCCAUCCAUGACCAAGACAUGACUUCUUCAUAUAAAAAAGCUAUGGCUGAGUGGAGGAAGUUCAGAGGACUUUUUGCAGUGUAGGAGAAGUAAAGAAGGGGAAGUUCAUACGUCAGGUGGCAGAUGAAGAUGGACAGAAUGACUUUUCAGCCCAUCAGGUCAUCCAUGAACAAAUGGAGACAGAUCUUACAUUAUAUGA